rnacentral:rRNA from 1 species
CCCAGACUCCUACGGGAGGCAGCAGUGAGGAAUAUUGGUCAAUGGCCGGAAGGCUGAACCAGCCAAGCCGCGUGAAGGACGAAGGUGCCAAGCAUUGUAAACUUCUUUUGUCAAGGGACAAAAUCAGGCUCGAGAGCCUGACCGAGGGUACUUGAAGAAAAAGCAUCGGCUAACUCCGUGCCAGCAGCCGCGGUAAUACGGAGGAUGCGAGCGUUAUCCGGAUUUAUUGGGUUUAAAGGGUGCGUAGGCGGGUUGUUAAGUCGGCGGUAAAAUUGCGGGGCUAACCCCCGACAAGCCGUUGAAACUGGCGGGCUGGAGUUGGAGAGAAGUACGCGGAAUGCGCGGUGUAGCGGUGAAAUGCUUAGAUAUCGCGCAGAACUCCGAUUGCGAAGGCAGCAUGCCGGCUCCACACUGACGCUGAGGCACGAAAGCGUGGGUAUCGAACAGGAUUAGAUACCCCAGUA